rnacentral:rRNA from 1 species
UACAGAGGGUGCGAGCGUUAAUCGGAAUUACUGGGCGUAAAGCGCGCGUAGGCGGUUUUGUAAGUCGGGUGUGAAAUCCCCAAGCUUAACUUGGGAACUGCAUUCGAGACUGCAUAGCUAGAGUAUGGGAGAGGGAAGUGGAAUUUCAGGUGUAGCGGUGAAAUGCGUAGAUAUCUGAAGGAACAUCAGUGGCGAAAGCGACUUCCUGGACAAUACUGACGCUCAUGUGCGAAAGCGUGGGGAGCAAACAGG